rnacentral:rRNA from 1 species
UACAGAGGUGGCAAGCGUUGUUCGGAAUUACUGGGCGUAAAGGGCGCGUAGGCGGCCCGCCAAGUCCCGUGUGAAAGCCCCCGGCUCAACCGGGGAACGGCGCGGGAAACUAGCGGGCUUGAGUUCGGGAGAGGGAGGCGGAAUUCCGGGUGUAGCGGUGAAAUGCGCAGAUAUCCGGAGGAACACCGGUGGCGAAGGCGGCUUCCUGGACCGACACUGACGCUGAGGCGCGAAAGCUAGGGGAGCAAACGGG